rnacentral:rRNA from 1 species
GAUGAACGCUGGCGGCGUGCCUAAUACAUGCAAGUCGAGCGAACAGAUAAGGAGCUUGCUCCUUUGACGUUAGCGGCGGACGGGUGAGUAACACGUGGGUAACCUACCUAUAAGACUGGAAUAACUCCGGGAAACCGGGGCUAAUGCCGGAUAACAUUUAGAACCGCAUGGUUCUAAAGUGAAAGAUGGUUUUGCUAUCACUUAUAGAUGGACCCGCGCCGUAUUAGCUAGUUGGUAAGGUAACGGCUUAUCAAGGCAACGAUACGUAGCCGACCUGAGAGGGUGAUCGGCCACACUGGAACUGAGACACGGUCCAGACUCCUACGGGAGGCAGCAGUAGGGAAUCUGCCGCAAUGGGCGAAAGCCUGACGGAGCAACGCCGCGUGAGUGAUGAAGGUCUUCGGAUCGUAAAACUCUGUUAUUAGGGAAGAACAAAUGUGUAAGUAACUGUGCACGUCUUGACGGUACCUAAUCAGAAAGCCACGGCUAACUACGUG